rnacentral:rRNA from 1 species
UAUGUAGGGCGCAAGCGUUAUCCGGAAUUAUUGGGCGUAAAGAGCUCGUAGGCGGUUUGUCGCGUCUGCCGUGAAAGUCCGGGGCUCAACCCCGGAUCUGCGGUGGGUACGGGCAGACUAGAGUGAUGUAGGGGAGACUGGAAUUCCUGGUGUAGCGGUGAAAUGCGCAGAUAUCAGGAGGAACACCGAUGGCGAAGGCAGGUCUCUGGGCAUUAACUGACGCUGAGGAGCGAAAGCAUGGGGAGCGAACAGG